AAGCAUUGUUUCUAGAUCUGAGUAUAUCAAUAUUACCUUGUUCAGAACUUAAAGAGAAAUCUUGAGUUUAUGGACUUCAGGGGGAGUAUGGUCACAAGGCUGAAACUUAAAGGAAUUGACGGAAGGGCACACCAGGAGUGGAGCCUGCGGCUUAAUUUGACUCAACACGGGAAAACUUACCAAGACCGAACAGUAGAAGGAAUGACAGAUUAAGAGUUCUUUCAUGAUUUAUUGGGUAGUGGUGCAUGGCCGUUCUUAGUUGGUGGAGUGAUUUGUCAGGUUAAUUCCGGUAACGAACGAGACUGAAACCUAUUAAUUAGUUUUCUGCCUAUAAGACAGAAAUGUUCGCAAGAACAGGUGCGUAAGUACCACUUCUUAAAGGGACACAUUUCAAUU
rnacentral:rRNA from 1 species